ACACCCCGCAAAAAACCGCUCCUGUCGAUCCCUCGAGGACACAGAGCCGCCGUCCUCUCGUGCGAUCUCGCUGCCGCCGCCCUCCGAUCUGCUCCUCCUCGUCUCCCGAGGAUACGCAUCCGCAUCCGCAUCCGCCGACGCCGAUCCGGGCAGAUGCGGCCGUCGUGGAUCACGAGGACACCGUCACAACCGGCGCCUCGGAUACGUCGCCCGUCAUGGAUCAGGAUCCCCAGGAUGCCGACGCCGCCGCGGAUCCACUGCCACGCGCAGCUCGGGCCCGAGCCGCGACGGGCUCGGCUAUCGCCGCUGCCGCGUGCGCCCUUCGUCUCCAGGCUCGGAGAGCCCCGCCGCCAGCCACCCCCAACCCACAUCGGCGUCAAGCUAUCUCCUUGGUGUUGUUGUCCUCGAUAGGCUAAUGACUCGAGGCAUGCUGCUAGCAGAAUUACAGAAGGCCAUACAGUCAGCGGCAAAGUGCUCGCCGUCGCCAAUGAUUGACUGCUGAGGAUCUCCAUUCGGGGAUUUAGCUACCUGCUCAAAUAAGAUGGUCAAUAGUUGUUCUAUGGAUGAAGAAGGAGAAGACAAGGGAACACAAUAAUUUCUGUGUCAUAUUAUUUGUUUCUGAUGGGGCUACUCUGGAAUACAGUUUAUGGGCGAGAGAUCAGACUUUCAGAUUGGGUGCGGUAUUAUAUCUCGUCAGAUUCAGUAACCAGCGUGGAAUUAAUUUUAAUUUUGUUCCUCAUCAGAUAAGUAGAGACAUGCUUUACCCCAAUCUUCAUUGAUGAAUCUCAACUACAAAAUCCAUGAUAGUUGCGCUGUAUUUUGUUGGGUCCAACAUAAGGCUGAGAGCAGAGUACCUACUUUGUCUUGGUAUAUCAAAAUAAUAAGGAAUCUGUGAGAUUAGAUAAGCCAAAUAGUUGGUACUUGCUGAGUCUACAAAAUUAUCUUAAAUGUUCCAUUUAGUAGUUCACUGAAUAUUAAACUAUGAUGUUUCUUCCAUUGGGGAGUUGUUUUAUGUAGCCCAAACAACAAACAGCCUAUGAACUUCUGAACCAAUUCUUUUUUUAGUAGGACCUUAUGCUCUUUUAACUGAAAAACUGGGAGCACUAGCAGUUCUUCACAAGGUAAUCACCUCCUAUGAAUGUUUGGUGGUGCUGGUCCAAUUUCUAUUGCAUUGCUUCUGAUGUAUGAAUGGACUAUUUUCCUCAUUUGCUAAUUAACGCAACUGGCGUAAUUCUUCAUGAGAAUAGAUAUUUUUGUAGUGCACAGUAUGUUUAUUUUAGUUACCCUCCUUAUGAAUAGAUUUUUUGUAGUGUACAGUACAAUUUUUUUGUCAGGAUUGCAUGUUGCUUGCUACUGCUACUUUUGUACAAUUGUGUUGUUUUGUAAUAUUUCUUAACUGUUAAGAGAUAUUGCCACACUGAGAUUUUGCUACGGGAAUGAAAGUGGAUUGGACAAUGCCGCUAGCUCGGAUGGCGCCCCAUCUGGAUGUCGAUCGGGGGCGAUGUGAGGAGGGCAAGGUAGAGAAAGGGGGUCAGGUUGGCGCCACAGUAGAGGUGAGCGAGGGGGCGGGGUUGCGUCGCUGCUGAGAUGCGCGAGGGGAUCGGAGCUGCGCCAAGCGGAUUCAUCAGAGCACUUCGCUCCCGCUGCCUUUGGACUGAUGCUUAGAUGGAUUGAUGCGUAAGAGUUUGAAUCCUUUCAUUUUUCACUUCUCUAAUGGGUGGCUGAUGGCCUGAUGCUUUGAUGGAUCGAUGCAUGCUAGAACUGGCUGAUAUGUGCGUGCGUGUGCACAUUUUUUAUUUUGAUUUUUGUAGAGAUUGGUUCAUGCUUCUCUUCUUAUGGAUUUCUUCUUUCUUUUGUCUGUGUUUGUCACUCUGUUGCUGAAUGAUUUGGUGAUUUUUUUCUUUGUGGGCUUAUCUGAUGAAAUUUACUGCUAAUUAGAUCGUGCACUGACGCUGCCACCAGAAGAUAGAUCAUAGAUGCAUGUGUUUGCUUUCGAACAUGGUGCGUAAUCUUUAGGUUUGCCAAACGUCACCUCCGGCAAUUUCAGCUCAACAUGUCUUGGUUUCUGCAGAUGAUUUGGUGAUUUUUCUUUUCUUUGUGGGCUUAUCUGAUGAAAUUUACUGCUAAUUAGAUCGUGCACUGACGCUGCCACCAGAAGAUAGAUCAUAGAUGCAUGUGUUUGCUUUCGAACAUGGUGCGUAAUCUUUAGGUUUGCCAAAUGUCACCUCCGGCAAUUUCAGCUCAACAUGUCUUGGUUUCUGCAUUCUGAGUUUAGAGUUCUACAUAGUGGAAUGGUUAGUAUAUGGGAGUUUGCAUCUACAGUUGCAUACUGUAGUUCCAUUCCGUCCUUCCUUAUUCAGAGAUGAACUGAACCUCUCAUUUUUCAUGUACUUUUGUGUGAUUGUGUGAAAGUGAGGUGGAACUGACUAUUCCGGGGGGAAAUCAAAAGAUACCACAUUAGUAUAGUAGAACGUACUACUUGCUCUUAAGAUUUCAGAAAUGACAUGUCAAGGACAGGGUAUAGAGAUCCGAAGAGUAUUCUCCUUCUGUCAUCGGUUGUUAAAUUAGUAACGCCCAGCAUCGUGUGCGAUGGAGCCCUUACCGCUGUUCACAACUGAACUCUUUAUUUUAUUUUAAUCCUUCGGAUUUGUCGGGUCAGGGAUCCUUCAGUUUUGUUGGAUCAGGAAGUAAGAGCACCGGGACUUCAAGGACGAUGUAGAUUGUCGAAGGCAAAGUUGCAGAGUGCAUGGGCAGCAGUACCAGUGCAAGAACCUCGCGCAUGACGGAGCUGCUGUGGUAGAGAAGCAAAACCCAACGACUAACUCUACAAGCUCUGGUCGCUGUCUUAAACAUCACUAACGUAAUCAUAUCUCACUCCAUUAUGCAAAUUUUAUUUCUGAUUUUUUUAUUCUAUUUCAGUACUUGUACCUUUUUACAAUGCGUUUAGUGCAUAUGAAUGAAGUAUAUUGAUUUAUCUUCUACCUAUGGUUUUCUGUGCUUUAUUGGUGCUCAACGUUUUUGACAUGUUGGCAUGCAUAUUACUAAAUUUGGUCAAGCAACCCGCCAACAAAUACAAAGAAGGGCUAUAUGUCUUCUGAUCGUCUUGAUGGCAUAUAUGAGGACCUGCAAUACUGAACCUGGAAGUUAGUCGUUGAGGCAGUGGUCAUGGUAGUGAUAUCUACUGCCAGAACAUAAACGUUUGGCCCUCCUUGUUGCCACGAAGGAUUAUGAUCUACUGGAUUUACAGAACCAGUUAAUGGCAUGAUGCUGGCAGUAGUAAUGGAGGGUUGUGAUUUCUGGAUGGAAUAGGACGGAUUGGCGUCCUCUUCUCACGAAACACACUGACACAAAAUUUCUGGUUUCUGACGUACAAGGAUUAUUUACUAUGAACAAAUAUUGCAAUGUUCAUUCGUAGUACUGUUUGUUGAGGCGAUGCCUCUCCUACAGUCUGUUAUUGUUGUUAUCUUCUUGGGAGUACUUGAGAAGGCGCGAAGAGGAAGGUGGGGACACGCCAUGGCAGAGGCCAGUGCCGAAUCUACGUCUGCUGGCAGAGGCGCGUGGUUGACAGGAGGAGCCGGGGAGGCAUGACGGUGGACAUGUGGAUGUUAUCGUGGCAUUGACACAUUUCGCCCUACCAACACUGCAUACCAACGUGACUGAAUGUUAUCGUGGCUUAGAUGCCCUAUCAAAUUCUUGCUUGACUUUUUGGUUUUGUAUACAUGGUAUUUCUCAUGUGGAGUUGAAACCACAUUUGGUUGGUCCAAUAGUAAAUAAUCAUAUGUUUCACUCUAAAAUCAUAUUGCAUAUAGAGUGACGUUACGUUCUUGUGCAAAUUACUACACACAUAUACAUGGAGUUGCCUGAAAAAGUCUCACACUUGGACUCCUGCAAGUAACACUAUCGCUCGCUUGUAGAGUUUGCAACUGGUGAUAACUGUCAUACUACUGGGUAACAGCCUUACUCGAAUCAGCCUUGACCUUGUAUAAUAUACAUAGUUAUUUGGUGCAUGGUAUUUUUAGUGAAUUUGAUCAAAACUUUGUUAUUUUAAGUACAUUUGUACUUUAGUUGUUUAUUCAAAUAAAUUUGUACAUUUGAGGACACGGUAGGCGCACCAACCGCACUAUAGCCUUGCAGUUUUUCCUAAUUUCUUUAGGUAUGCGAUGUCAAUUUAAUAUUCACAUAUAUGCUGAAAUUUUGACUUCGAAGGACCAUCACUGAAGUUAUAUGCUGAAAUUUUGACUUCGAAAAACCAGCACUGAAGUUAUAUGAAGUUCCUUGCAAGAGCUAUAUCAUUCUUUUGAGUACUACUAAUUAAUUCCCAUGAGUACCAAUGGUGAGAUUUUCAGGCGUAAAUACUUGAUGUGAUUCUCAUUGUUGGCAAUCUUCAUGAACCUAUCAAGGAGAACAUUGCAAUACUAAUUGUUGCACAGGUGUUCUCAACACCGGCUAGCAACAAGAGAGAAUGAUUGUUCAAUGCUCACUGUUGUAAGCUUGAUCCAAGAGGAGCUUCUCAAUGUUGUACAUGUAGGCUGUGAGUAACCGAAAUAAUACCUAUUUGUUCACUCUUUUCCUAUACCUAUGAUUCCUCUACCACUGUUCAGUAGAGUUCAGUUAUGUGCUUCAAUAUGAGGAAGUCAUCAUCUUUUAAAACAUACCGUUGCCUACUCAAACAUAUUUUGUUCCUUUUUGUUUCCAACAGAUUAUGUAUAAAAACACGUGUACAAUAAGCGGCAGAACCUGCAUUGGACCGUCCUCA